CCCUUGAGGGCGGCCUUUGUAGCUGGGGGCAUGGCCGCCAGAGGUGGGCCAGCCCUACUACACGAUACUAACUAACUAAUACUGCUAGUGGUCCUCUUGGCCACGCCGACGGGCUGCCAGAGACUGAAAAACUGCGGAGCUCAAAAAUUUGCUUCCACUUCAGAAAAAAAACUGCUUUGAAUCUGGGUGUGAAAUGCCCUUCGUUUUCCUUUUUCAUGGUGACACUAUAGCCGCUCAGCACUGUGAGUUUUAUUUUUGCUGCCACUACGUUUGCUAUUCGUUUACCUCGAAAAUGGCUGGCAGGGAGACCCCGACGAGUUCGCGUACAGAAGCCGUCGAUGUAUUAGCAUAUGCCAGGGAGCCACAGUACACGAGCGAGGAGCUCCAGAGUUUGCGUGACGGUGGCGAUGAGCACGUUGAAAACGAGGAGGAAGCUGCUGCUGCUGCUGCUGCUGCUGCGAGCGUCGAAGAAGCCUGGCCUCCCCACACCAGAGUCGGCAACAGUUCCUGGUGUGAAUGUACAUGCUGCGUGCAGAUGGAGUGUAGACUGGACUGCAUAUGCUGCCGUGAAGUGGAUGCUGUGCUGCAGUUCCUCUCAGGCACAGCACCGAACAGUGCGUGUCUGAGACAGAGGAAUUCAAAACCGGUUGCCUAAAUAAACACGUUUUGACCAUCGCCUUGCGCGGAUACCUGGACAUGACCAAGCAGCUCUGUAACCAGCCGCCGACACAUUUUGACAAUAGAUCAUUCAGAUAUGCUGCCUACCGACAGGUAACGUGGAUGAUCCAUGGGAAAAUGGGUCGUGGUGUAAGAUGUCGUAUCCCAGCCUGCCUUGUGGGAGCAAUACGUCAGUGCUUUCCAAACCCUCCAGGUGUACCGUACCAUGGGUUUGAAGAAGCCAGAGAUGAGGAGGCUACUCAGUGGCCUGAAGAUUGACACCAUAACUUUUAUGAGGUUUGCGACAACUGUUGCCUUGACUGGGGCCCCGCGUCGCGACACGUUGACAGGCUUACACUUCUGGAUGGCUGGGACUGUCAGCCUCUUCGUGGCCACAUCACUGACCUGCUGCAUCAUGCUG